rnacentral:tRNA from 1 species
GGGCGACUAGCUCAGCGGGAGAGCACUUCCUUCACACGGAAGGGGUCACAGGUUCGAUCCCUGUGUCGCCCACCA